AUACCCUUAGCCCUGAAAUGGCCUGAUCCAGUUUUCAGUGGGGGAACUGAAAACUUUUUCCCCUAAAACACUUAACACUUAACAAAGGUUUGCAUUCUCGGGAUUGUCAAAGAGUAACAUGUCGAAAAAAGUCUUAUUCCCAUAAAGUAUCUUUAAACCUACUGUACAGUUACAGGUCAUUCUGAGUCUGAGAUGGACAUAGUUUAAGAGGCACAGGUGGAGGAGUAAAACCACUAGCUCCAGUGCAAGCCCUAAGCAUAGAUCACUGCCUGUGAAAAGUAAAGAUUCUUUCCAAUGUCCUGGUCUUCUCUGUGGAUUUUGUAUCAGUCGUUUUCAUACAGAAAUAAACCUCUUUACUUAUUCCAGGCCAGCUUAGGGCCUGGAAACAAAAGGCUCUCCUCAUGGUUGUGGAGAAGGGUUAUCAGGUUGGGAGAAGCCACCUUCACUACCUGCCUGCAUUUCUCUGCCUAGGUGUAAAAGAUGUCUGAUCUCAGUACAAAGAUCAUAAUCAGCAUGGGCUUCAGCUUAGUGAUUGCUGCAGUUUUUCUGACAGCUAUUGUCACCAGUAUUUUCUUCUAUGUCUCCAAAGCGCUAAAGUGAGUCAUGCAGAGCUGCAAAAGAACCUGAUCCUGAGGCUAACUCAGCCAACAACACCAAGGAUAGGGUCAUCCCGGCUGAAACUGCUGCCACUGAGUCUUUUCUCAUCCUUCAGUCUUGUGAUGAAUGUAAAAUGUAUGCAGAUCCCCUGCCACCUUGCUUUUGUGACAUAAAUUAGGGGCUCUAAUGUGGAGUUGGUGGACACAAAAAUCUUCAUAAACAGUAUUUCUUUCUUAGUAGAGUGUUAUUCAAGUCAAGUUCGAAAGCAUUUAUAUUUUCUAAUGUACUCUCACAUCAUAUGUACUUUUGAUUACAUGUGCAAUAAUGAAAAUCCUUUCUGCUUCCAGUUGUUAUGUCUUUUACUUAAAUCUGUGCAUUACCACCUUCGGACUUGAGGCAACUAGUUUAUAAUAUUGUAUUGCAAAAUAAGCAGGAGAGUUAGAGUACAAAAUAAAGAGCUUGUAUAUAGUUUAGCAAGAGGGGCUAUUGUUUUAACAGAUCCAUGAAAUAAAAAGCACUUGAGCCAAGCUUUGUGCUGCAUGUUUGUGAUUCCAGUUACUCAGGAGGUUGAGGCAGGAAGGCUGCAAGUAUGAGACCAUCCUGGGCAACUUAGCAAGACCCUGUUUCAAAAUUUAAAAAAGAGCUGGAGAUGUAGCUCAGUCUAGUAUGUGUGAGGUCCUGAGUUUUAACACACACACACACAGACACACACACGCACACACACACACACACACACACACAGCCUAAGUUUAGACUGAAGCUUCCUAGCAGUCGAGGCAGAAACUUUAUAUCUCUGAAUGAGAUCAACUUUUCCCUGGGAUUAAACACUGCUUGGAUUGUAUUACAUGGAGUCCUCUCUUUGAGACUUCUGAACAAAAAAACCAAAUACAUUCCUUUUGGGUUUUAUAAAGAUUCAGACAUGGCUGAGUAGGGG
rnacentral:lncRNA from 1 species